rnacentral:rRNA from 1 species
UACGUAGGGUGCGAGCGUUAAUCGGAAUUACUGGGCGUAAAGCGUGCGCAGGCGGUUCGUUGUGUCGGCGGUGAAAGCCCCGUGCUCAACGCGGGAGGGUCAUGGCAAACCGGCGGCUUGAGGCCGGUAGAGGUGGGUGGAACUCCUGGUGGAGUGGUGAAAUGCGUAGAGAUCAGGAAGAACACCCGUGGCGAAGCGGCCCACUGGGCCGGACCUGACGCUGAGGCGCGAAAGCUAGGGGGAGCGAACUGG